CCUACGGGAGGCAGCAGUGGGGAAUAUUGGGCAAUGGAGGAAACUCUGACCCAGCAAUGCCGCGUGAAUGAAGAAGGUCCUCGGAUUGUAAAGCUCUUUAGUCAGGGAAGAAGUCAAUGACGGUACCUGAUGAAUAAGCUUCGGCUAACUACGUGCCAGCAGCCGCGGUAAUACGGAGGGAGCAAGCGAUGUUCGGAAUGACUGGGCGUAAAGGGUGCGUAGGCGGUUGUACAAGUUAGAAGUGAAAUACCCAGGGCUUAACUCGGGUGCUGCUUCUAAAACUGGAUGACUUGAGUGCAGUAGAGGAUAGUGGAAUUCCUGGUGUAGCGGUGGAAUGCGUAGAUAUUAGGAAGAACACCGGAGGCGAAGGCGGCUGACUGGACUGCAACUGACGCUGAGGCACGAAAGUGUGGGGAGCAAACAGGAUUAGAUACCCCGGUAGUC
rnacentral:rRNA from 1 species